rnacentral:rRNA from 1 species
UCAGAUGUGAAAGCCCGGGGCUCAACCUCGGAACUGCAUUUGAAACUGGUGAACUAGAGUGCUGUAGAGGGGGGUAGAAUUUCAGGUGUAGCGGUGAAAUGCGUAGAGAUCUGAAGGAAUACCAGUGGCGAAGGCGGCCCCCUGGACAGACACUGACACUCAGAUGCGAAAGCGUGGGGAGCAAACAGGAUUAGAUACCCUGGUAGUCCACGCCGUAAACGAUGUCUACUUGGAGGUUGUGGCCUUGAGCCGUGGCUUUCGGAGCUAACGCGUUAAGUAGACCGCCUGGGGAGUACGGUCGCAAGAUUAAAACUCAAAUGAAUUGACGGGGGCCCGCACAAGCGGUGGAGCAUGUGGUUUAAUUCGAUGCAACGCGAAGAACCUUACCUACUCUUGACAUCCAGAGAAGCCAGCGGAGACGCAGGUGUGCCUUCGGGAACUCUGAGACAGGUGCUGCAUGGCUGUCGUCAGCUCGUGUUGUGAAAUGUUGGUUUAAGUCCCGCAACGAGCGCAACCCUUAUCCUUGUUU